CUCGUAGGUGGCCAACUAAGUCAGACGUGAAAUCCCUCGGCUUAACCGGGGAACUGCGUCUGAUACUGGAUGGCUCGAGGUUGGGAGAGGGACGCGGAAUUCCAGGUGUAGCGGUGAAAUGCGUAGAUAUCUGGAGGAACACCGGUGGCGAAGGCGGCGUCCUGGACCAAUUCUGACACUGAGGAGCGAAAGCCAGGGGAGGCAAACG
rnacentral:rRNA from 1 species